CGACACGUUACCAGAAAUCACUAAAGUGACUUCUCAUUUAAUAUAUAGGGGGAUAAGUUAGUUAAGGUAAUACACACUUUCAUUUUUUCUAUAUUUAUUUAUUUAUUAUUUUCUUCUCCACACUUGUUUUUUUUUUCACUUCUAAAAGCAAAUAAAAUAAUUUAUCAGAGUACUUUUUUGCUAAAAUAUAAAUUAUACUUUGUCAAUAUUUUGAUAUUUGUUUUAUUAUUUUUCUAUUUGCAAAUGGACGGAUCUUGUAGAUUUGAAAGAUACAACAUAUGAUGGUUUAUGUGGUCUCGGUCCAUUAUUUUUGGAUGUACAAAGCAGAGAAAAAAGUAUUUUAAAAGUUGGCACAUAUAAUUUUAUCAAAUUAAC
rnacentral:lncRNA from 1 species